rnacentral:tRNA from 3 species
GCCGGAAUAGCUCAGUUGGUAGA